rnacentral:tRNA from 1 species
GUUAAGGUGGCAGAGCCCGGAGAUAUGCAAAAGGCCUAAGCCCUUUGAACAGAGGUUCAAAUCCUCUCCUUAACU